UUAUGUUGAACAUCGUCUUCUCCAAAACUCUCAUCUGCGCUAUCUCGUUGGAGUAGAGAGCCUUAUCAUUUUACAAAUAAAAACCAAUAUGAAUCUAGGUACUACUACAAUAUGAAUCUAGUACCUCCUCUAAUUUCUUCGUUUCAUGUUUUUCUUCAUCGUCAUCGGAAUUGUCAUCUCAUGCUCUCUUCUGAAACAACUUUUGAUUCUUCAUUAUAACCUCAAUUUUUUGAGCCGGAGUUUAUCAUCUUAACAUUGUGAUGAUGAUCAGAGAAGAACCCUGAAAUCGAUUCUCGUGUUAUCGACAUCCGGUGGAUUACGCAACCACCGCCACAAACUCGCCCCAACAUGAAGAAAGAGAUUCUCAAGAGAGGAAGAAAACUUAUGGAAAGGAGAUAUGGGGAGAUGACAAUCGAGAGGAGGGGGCGAUAGAUUAGGUCAAAUGACAAAUAUAUGUCUUCGGCUCAAGAUCAAAACCGAUUUGUUAUUCGGUUUUCGUU
rnacentral:lncRNA from 1 species